AAUGAACGUUGGCGGCGUGGAUUAGGCAUGCAAGUCGAGCGUGUACCCCGCAAGGGGGAAAGCGGCGUAAGGGAGAGUAAUACGUAGAUACGUGCCUCCGGGUCUGGGAUAGCCACGGGAAACUGUGGGUAAUACCGGAUAAUGUCUGAGGACCAAAGGUGUGAUUCCACCUGGAGAUCGGUCUGCGUCCUAUCAUGCUUGUUGGUGAGGUAACGGCUCACCAAGGCUACGACGGGUACGGGGAGUGAGAGCUUGCCCCCGCUCACUGGAACUGAGACACUGCCCAGACACCUACGGGUGGCUGCAGUGGAGGAUCUUCGGCACUGGGCGCGAGCCUGACCGAGCGACGCCGCGUGCGGGAUGAAGGCCUUCGGGUUGUAAACCGCUGUCAGUGGGGAGGAAGGCUCCGUGAAGAACGGGGUUUGACCUAUCCGCAGAGGAAGUGUGGGCUAAGUUCGUGCCAGCCGCCGCAGUAA
rnacentral:rRNA from 1 species